AGAUAGGAGGGCAAUCUGGCUGCGACAUCUGUCACCCCACUGACCACCAGGAUUGAUUCAGCUGGUGGUGUCUCCUUCCUCCCUCAGCACUCCAUAUGCAUCCCUCCUGAAGCUACAUGCUCGGUUGAAGAGGAUGACCACCCCGAUAGAGGACCAUUUCUUUGGUCAAGGGUAUAUGAGUAGCUGUGCUCUGCUGCUGGAACUCCACACAAGCUCUCCGUUGGGGAACCCAGAGACAGACUUGGAUUCUCUUCAGCCAUCCCGCUGCUGGACACAGGAAGUGCCUGGCCCUGUCAGC
rnacentral:snRNA from 1 species